AAACCAGCACCUCAAGUGGUCAGGAGGAUUAUUGGGCCUAAAGCAUCCGUAGCCUGUUCUGUAAGUUUUCGGUUAAAUCCAUUAGCUCAACUAAUGGGCCGCCGAAAAUACUGCAGAGCUAGGGAGUGGGAGAGGUAGACGGUACUCGGUAGGAAGGGGUAAAAUCCUUUGAUCUAUCGAUGACCACCUGUGGCGAAGGCGGUCUACCAGAACACGUCCGACGGUGAGGGAUGAAAGCUGGCGGAGCAAACCGGAUUAGAUACCCCGGUAGUCC
rnacentral:rRNA from 1 species